rnacentral:tRNA from 1 species
AUUUUUUUUUUUUUUAAAAAGUUUUAAUUUGAUUUGCAAUCAAUUAAUAUGUAAAGCAUAC